AACGAACGCUGGCGGCGCGUCUUAAGCAUGCAAGUCGAACGGCAAGAUUGGUGCUUGCACCGAUCCUAGAGUGGCGGACUGGUGAGUAACGCGUGGGUGACGUACCCUAAGGAUGGGGAUAGCUGGUAGAAAUAUCAGAUAAUACCGAAUAUCCUUAUUGUUGUUAGAGGACAGUAAGGAAAGGAGCUUUGGCUUCGCCUAAGGAUCGGCCCGCGUACUAUUAGCUAGUUGGUGAGGUAACGGCUCACCAAGGCGACGAUAGUUAUCCGGCCUAAGAGGGUGAACGGACACAUUGGGACUGAGAUACGGCCCAGACUCCUACGGGAGGCAGCAGCUAAGAAUAUUCCGCAAUGGAGGAAACUCUGACGGAGCGACGCCGCGUGGAUGAUGAAGGCCGGAAGGUUGUAAAAUCCUUUUAAGCAAGAAGAAUAAACUUUACAGGGAAUGGUAGAGUGGUGACGGUAUUGCUUGAAUAAGCAACGGCUAAUUACGUGCCAGCAGCCGCGGU
rnacentral:rRNA from 1 species